rnacentral:rRNA from 1 species
ACGGGUGAGUAACGCGUGGGAACAUACCCUUUUCUACGGAAUAGCUCUGGGAAACUGGAAUUAAUACCGUAUACGCCCUACGGGGGAAAGAUUUAUCGGGGAAGGAUUGGCCCGCGUUGGAUUAGCUAGUUGGUGGGGUAAAGGCCUACCAAGGCGACGAUCCAUAGCUGGUCUGAGAGGAUGAUCAGCCACAUUGGGACUGAGACACGGCCCAAACUCCUACGGGAGGCAGCAGUGGGGAAUAUUGGACAAUGGGCGCGAGCCUGAUCCAGCCAUGCCGCGUGAGUGAUGAAGGCCUUAGGGUUGUAAAGCUCUUUCACCGAUGAAGAUAAUGACGGUAGUCGGAGAAGAAGCCCCGGCUAACUUCGUGCCAGCAGCCGCGGUAAUACGAAGGGGGCUAGCGUUGUUCGGAGUUACUGGGCGUAAAGCGCACGUAGGCGGAUAUUUAAGUCAGGGGUGAAAUCCCAGAGCUCAACUCUGGAACUGCCUUUGAUACUGGGUAUCUUGAGUAUGGAAGAGGUAAGUGGAAUUGCGAGUGUAGAGGUGAAAUUCGUAGA